AUUGGCUUCAGUUGCUUCCUGUGCUGGCGGUUUCAGAUCAACGAUUCUAGCACGACUUUAGGAUGUCAACCCAGCAUUUCAACAGUCGGAGGUAGUCCGUGCCCGCCCAAACCUCCCAACUUCAGAGGCAAACGGAGCCAUAAGGUGGCCCGCCACCUUGAGAAGCCCUUUCCUACUGUUUCCUGCAGGGAAGGCAUCCAAAAUGUAGUUUGAUUUACUUCACUGGCUAGAAGGAAGAACCACAGACCGGAUUCUAGAGCUGAACGAGCUGUUAGAGGGCACCUGAUCACCACACAAGAAGCAGCGAUCCUUAGGAAGAGGUCGUCCACCCCUGCCCUGAAGAAACCGAGGCAAAGUCAAUUUGUCCUAUGCCCAGGGCAUGCUGAGGUAGCUUUGAUUUAUAGGGUUGCAGAUCUGGAGCUAGGAGAGCUCGUGGAGGCCAUUUAAUUUAACUGUUUAAAUUUCAAAGAUAAGGAAACUGAGACCUGGAAGGUUGAGGAUCUUGCACAAGAAUACAGGAAGAGAAAAAUGUUAGAAACAGAGCUUGAAUCUAGGUCUGCUGACUUCAAGGCCAAAGCUCCUUUCAUCUUUGGGUGACAUGUAUUGUGACUUUAUUUUUAAUUUUUAUUCUCCAAUUGAUUUCAUUUUUGUGCCUUUUGCUUUGAUAGAAAAGAUACUUCCCAAGAUUCAAGGCAUGAUCCCAACUCUACUAGAUACAGUCAGUAAAUGUUAGGCCAAGAAGUUAAACAAAAAAUAACUAUAAUUACUGGCUUUUCUGUAAUGUAUUAUAACUAGCAACGUAUUACAUACCUAGUUUCAUUUGAUUCCUGUAGCAAACUUUUGAGGUAAGAACGAUCAUUCCCUUAAGUUGAGGCAACUUAACAAAAAUCCUGUAAUUUGUCUAAACUGACACAUGUGCUUUGAGCUGUCAAGUGCUUGCAAUUGCUGAGAUGCCGGGAGAGAGAAGGAGGGAAAGGAAAAGAGAGGAAAGGGGGGAGAGAAGAAAAAAAGAAAAAUAGAGACUAAGAGAUAGAAAGAGAUCAAGAGUCAGAGAGGAGAGAGACAGAGAGACAAAGACAGGAAGAGACAGAAACAGAGACAGAGAUAGAGAAACAGACAGAGAAAGAUAGAAAGAGAAAUAGAGAGACAAAGAGAGUCAGAGACAAAGAAGAGACAGAGAGAUAGAGACAGAGAAACAGAGAGAGAAAGAGAGACACAGAAAGAAACAGAUACACUUAGAGACAGAGAGACAGAAAAACAGAGACAGAGACAGAGAAACAGAGA